rnacentral:rRNA from 1 species
AACGAACGCUGGCGGCGUGCCUAAUACAUGCAAGUAGAACGCAGUUGCGAACGGGUGAGUAACGCGUAUGUGACUGCCUCAUAGGGGGGGGUAACUAUUGGAAACGAUAGCUAAUACCGCAUACUGUGAGCUGGACCUGCGUUGUAUUGGCUAAUUGGUGAGGUAAAGGCUCACCAAGGCGACGAUUCAUAGCCUGCCUGGGAGGGUUGUCGGCCACACUGGGACUGAGAAACGGCCCAGACUCCUACGGGAGGCAGCAGUAGGGAAUUGUCGGAAAUGGACGGAAGUCUGACCGAGCAACGCCGCGGGAGUGAAGAAGGUUUUCGGAUCGUAAAGCUCUGUUGAUAGAGAAGCGGUAACUAACGAGAAAGGGACGGCUAACUACGUGCCAGCAGCCGCGGUAAUAC